AACGUAGGUGGCGAGCGUUGUCCGGAAUUAUUGGGCGUAAAGGGCGCGUAGGCGGUUAUUUAAGUCAGCUGUGAAAACUUCGGGCUCAACCCGGAACUUGCAGUUGAAACUGGACAACUUGAGUGCAGGAGAGGACAGUGGAAUUCCUAGUGUAGCGGUGAAAUGCGUAGAUAUUAGGAGGAACACCAGUGGCGAAGGCGGCUGUCUGGACUGUAACUGACGCUGAGGCGCGAAAGCGUGGGUAGCAAACAGGAUUAGAUACCCUGGUAGUCCCU
rnacentral:rRNA from 1 species